rnacentral:rRNA from 1 species
GACAGAGGUCCCGAGCGUUAGGCGGAAUCACUGGGCUUAAAGCGUGUGUAGGCGGAUCGUUAAGUGCCUUGUGAAAUCCCACGGCUUAACCGUGGAACUGCCUCGGAUACUGGCGGCCUCGAGGGAGGUAGGGGCGUGCGGAACUGUGGGUGGAGCGGUGAAAUGCGUUGAUAUCCACAGGAACUCCGGUGGCGAAGGCGGCCAGCUAGACCAGUUCUGACACUGAGGCGCGGACAGCGUGGGGAGCAAACGGGG